AAUAAAACUUCCGUACUUGUCGGAACACAUCUCAUGCAAAAUGCAAAAAAAAUCACUUUAGCUUUGGAUCGGGAGCACUGGCAGAUGACACCCAGAGGUAUCAUCGUGGAUUCCCAUGUAUGACAAAUCCCCAGUACAGUAUCAGCACUCCAUCAGUUUUUUCCCAUUCCUACCUGUAUAGAAAGUUUACAACAGCAUGGCGGGUUUACAAGCUGUGGCUUUCGGAAUGAGCGGCAAUGCAUUGUUCGGCAAUUUGAAGAGCCUCUUCUGGAAAUGUUCGGUUUCAUCGGUGUAUUCUCAGGGAUCGUUAGUAAACAAAUGCCGUGCCUCUGCACUA